rnacentral:rRNA from 1 species
GACGAACGCUGGCGGUGUGCUUAACACAUGCAAGUCGAGCGGUAAGGCCCUUUCGGGGGUACACGAGCGGCGAACGGGUGAGUAACACGUGGGUGACCUGCCCUCAGCUCUGGGAUAAGCCUGGGAAACUGGGUCUAAUACCGGAUAUGACCUGCUGCUUCAUGGUGGUGGGUGGAAAGUUUUUCGGCUGGGGAUGGGCCCGCGGCCUAUCAGCUUGUUGGUGGGGUGAUGGCCUACCAAGGCGACGACGGGUAGCCGGCCUGAGAGGGCGACCGGCCACACUGGGACUGAGACACGGCCCAGACUCCUACGGGAGGCAGCAGUGGGGAAUAUUGCGCAAUGGGCGGAAGCCUGACGCAGCGACGCCGCGUGGGGAUGAC